rnacentral:tmRNA from 1 species
GGGGGCGAUCGGCUUCGACGGGGGCUUCGAAAUCACUUGGUGCAUGCCGAGGGGGCAGCUUUCCUCGUUAAUCCAGCGGCAAAACUCAUAGUUGCCAACGACGACAACUACGCUCUGGCCGCUUAAGGCCUAGCCCGGAACCCACUUGUGCCUGUGCUCGUGGAUGUACGGUCAUCAUCACAGGAUCGCUGAUGCUUGCCGCCUGACGGUCAUCGGCUAACUCCAAUCGGGCUGGUUGUCCGGUGCGCUUCGCACGCUGUGUUGCCGGAGAACGAGAUCAAACAGUGCGCUAUGCAUGUAGAGCCGGGGACGUAGGGCCUUCGGACGCGGGUUCAAUUCCCGCCGCCUCCACCA